CACAUUUUUCUGGUUUCUACUCUCUCAAUCCUGCUUAGGUUUACCAAAAAUUUCAAAACAUCUUCCCAAAGCAACAGAGAAUGCAAAGGUCUCCAGACUAUGAUGUUGGGAAAGCUAAAGUAGAGAGAUUGGGUUUGGCAGGACCUAGGAUGACCUUGAAAAAGAGAGCCAGCUGGGUUUCCUUCAUAAAGAUUAAGCCAAAAUGUGAUCCUUGGCAAAAGAAGCCUUUGACCAAACUAAAAGAAUGGAGAAUAGAUGUAAUAAUGCAACUCCAAGCAAAGUUUUUGAAGAUUUCCAGCCCUGGGUGAGUAAUGCAAGUGCUCCAGGAUCACACUGCAAAGACAGACACGCUGGAUCCAUCUCAUCCAGCUUUCGUGGCUUCCCAGGGUUUGCAUCCGUGCAACUAUGACUGAAUCAGGGAGAAUAUUUAUAGCAACAUCAACCUCUACCAGGUACCACAGAGAGAAAUAGCUAAUAUGUCUUUCUGUUCAACUCACCACCUGUGUGUAGAUCUUAGAAAUUUACUUUGGUAGUUUUUCAGAGACCCUCCCCCUCAAAGCUCUAUUACCUAACCAGGCUUGCUUUUAUUAUAAAAAAAAAAUUAAAGGCUAAUUAAAAAAGAGGACUAUAAAGAGGUGCUAUAUAAGAUACUGUUACAGCCAGAACAUGUACUCAACUGAUAAAUAACAGUGCAAAGCUGCAAACUUUGGUGCUAAAUACCAGGAGAGGUGGACAGUCGUUAGUGUUCAGACAGAAAGUGAUCCCCACAGGGUUGGUUCUACUGAGAAAAACUUUUGAAGGAGAAAGAAAUUGAGCUGGACUUGAAGAAAGAAUAGGGCUUAAGGAGGUGUUGCAGAGGGAAGGAGGGAGCUCAUUCCAGGAGGGAAACAUAAACGACAAUGCAGAGGAGAGACUAUGCGUAUAGUGUUCAAGUUUGAUUAAGUGGAAGACUCAUGGGGAAAUGUAGUGAAGAGAAGUUUUUUUAGAGGGGGGAGGAGAGGGCAGGUUGUAGAUGUCUGUGAAUUCCAGACUAAGGAAUUUGUGCUUUAUCCUGUACAGCAAGCGCUAUAUGCAAAGCUGCAUUUUUUUUUUUUUUAGGAAGACUAAUGUGGCCACGGGGUGUUAGUUGGAUUGGAAGAGUGAGAAAUUGCAGGCAGGGAUGCUAGUUAGGUUGCUACAACAUAGGAUAGACAUGAAAUUUGGCAAUGAAAGGGAGUUUCUACACAAGGUAGUGGGUAUUUGUCUUUACACUGGUACUAUAGCAUUUUUGAAGCUAUGACCUACUAUUGUUUGUUGCUCUAAGAGAAGACUUUUGUUUCACCUGCUUAUUUAAGAGGAGAAGACUCGAGUUUAUUUACAGUCUGGGGGGAAGGAGCAGUAAAGGACAAGAGAUGGGAGGGGAAUUUGGGAAACAGAC